rnacentral:rRNA from 1 species
CAGCCGCGGUAAUUCCAGCUCCAAUAGCGUAUACUAAAGUUGUUGCGGUUAAAAAGCUCGUAGUUGGAUCUUGGAAUGUGUUCAAGCGGGUCAGCUUCUGGCUGUGCGCUGCUUGACGUGUUCUUCUAUUUGGUUUUGGUGCGGUGCGCUUAACUGCGUGUCGCUCCCGGCCGAAACGUUUACCUUGAAAAAAUUAGAGUGUUCAAAGCAGACCUGUUUGAGUCUGAAUAUUCGUGCAUGGAAUAAUGAAAUAUGAAUUCGGUUCUAUUUUGUUGGUUUUCGGAACUCGAGUUAAUGAUCAAGAGGGACAGACGGGGGCAUUCGUACUCUGCCGUUAGAGGUGAAAUUCUUGGAUCGGCGGAAGACGCGCAACUGCGAAAGCAUUUGCCAAGAAUGUUUUCUUUAAUCAAGAACGAUAGUCGGAGGUUCGAAGACGAUCAGAUACCGUCCUAGUUUCGACUGUAAACUAUGCCAGCUAACGAUCAGACAGAGUUCUCUACGACUUGUCUGGCAGUUUCCGGGAAACCAAAGCGUUUGGGUUCCGGGGGAAGUAUGGUUGCAAAGCUGAAACUUAAAGGAAUUGACGGAAGGGCACCACCAGGAGUGGAGCCUGCGGCUUAAUUUGACUCAACACGGGGAAACUCACCCGGCCCGGACACAGUGAGGAUUGACAGAUUGAGAGUUCUUUCUUGAUUCUGUGGGUGGUGGUGCAUGGCCGUUCUUAGUUGGUGGAGCGAUUUGUCUGGUUAAUUCCGAUAACGAACGAGACUCUGGCAUGUUAAAUAGUCGCGGAAGUGCGUAUGCACUUGCCGAAUUGACUUCUUAGAGGGACUAGUGAUUUUAAUUCACACGAGAUUGAGCAAUAACAGGUCUGUGAUGCC